GAGUAAGAACAACAGGGAUUGCCUCAGUAACGGCGAGUGAAGCGGCAACAGCUCAAUUUGAAAUCUGGCCUUUGUUUUUACGCCCUGCAUUUUAAUGAGGGUUUUGUGGUUCAGCCGCCCCGCUUCCCUGAGUCGCAUGGAACUGGGUGCCAGGGAGGGCGAGAGCCCCGGGUGGGGAGUGCCGACCCUAUGCGAAGCUCCUUCAACGAGUCGGGUAGUGGGGGAAUGCUGCCCUAAGGGGGGGGUAAUUUCCUUCUAACCCUAAAUAUCUCCCAGAGCCCAAUAGCACACAGAUAGAGAGAUCAAAAGAUAAAAGGAACCUUGAAAAAAGGGUAAAAUAACUCGUGAAAUUGCUAAAGGGAAAGCGCCUGCUUGCAGACGCUGCCUGGGGGGUCCCGCUUUGUGUUCGCCCUGGCGUAUUCUCCCCGGCUGCAGGGUCUCCAUCGGGUUUUCUGGAGGAAUACUCGGGGUACGGAUGUACCCUCCUUUUUGGGGGGGUGUUACCACUUUCUCUGAAAGCCUUUGGAGGGGGCGAGGAUACCGUUUUUAUGGAAGGAUGCUGGCAGAAUGGCUGCCGGCAACCCGGAUUGAAACACGAACCAAAGAGUCCAGGUUCUGCGCGAGUAUUAGGGCGUUAAACGCCUGGUGCGCAGAGAAAGCGAACGCUGGGACCAGCUCCGAUCACCCCCGACCGAUCCUGAUGUUCUCUGAUGGAUAUGAGUACGAGCGUAGGGCCUCGAACCCUGAAAGAUGUGAACUACAGUUGAAUAGGGUGAAGCCAGAGCAAACUCUGGUGGAGGCUCGCAAUGGUUCUGACUUGAAUUCGAUCGUCAGACUAGACUGUACAUGCAAAAGAUAGCUCCUGCCUUCUAGUACCUGGUGACAGC
rnacentral:rRNA from 1 species